rnacentral:lncRNA from 1 species
AGUUUCGAAGUGCGGCUCCUUGCAAUUCCGGACAGAAAUAGGGCCGUACCAGCGGCCUUCUUCUUUGGCUCGAACGGGGAAACCAAUUUGGGGACCGAGAAUUUUGUUUUCUUUGGUUGCGGUGGUGUCUUAUCAUCAUUUUUUGGUGCCGGUGGUGUGGAAGAUUGCGGUGUUGAAGCAUGGGGUUUAGGUGAUGGUGGUGAAGCCUGGGGUUUAGGUGAUGGUGGGGGAGUGGGUUUUGAUGGUGGCGGGGAUGGUGGUUGAGGCAUUAUUGGUGAUGGUGGUGGUGGGGAUUGUGGAUGCAAGAUUGGAGAGGUUGGUGGAGUGGGAAGAGAUGUGGGAUGGGACGACUCCUGAGUCUGCGGCACUUCUCAGGGUGAUGGUUCUGGUACCUGAGACAGCAGGACGUCCCGUCGAGGCCAAAGAAUAAAAUUCUUGAUAGCUUGUCCCAGUUUCUCAAUGCCCUCAGGGCUGGGAAUGUCUAGCAUGUCGUCCUCAUAUCCUUGGACAACUGUCAACACUUCCACCCUGCAGUAGUCCUCAGGGAUCUCACUACCAUGGAAUUGACGCCCCGGGAUCGCAAGUCCUGUGGCUACUUCCCUUGUACGGUUAUUGUUAAAACCAUACCUUAUGACUAGGGAGCAAGGCACAGGACUAUCGAUCUCAUCAAGUGGAUAGCGGACCUUGU